UUUUAACAUUUUAAUCCUUAUAAAAAUGUGAAGAUGAAGUUGAAAGUUGAAUGUUAUGACUUUUUUGUUUGUUUGUUUUUUUAAUAUUUAUUUUUUAGUUUUCGGCAGACACAACAUCUUUAUUUGUAUGUGGUGCUGAGGAUUGAACCCAGGCCGCACGCAUGCCAGGCGAGCGCGCUACCACUUGAGCCACAUCCCCAGCCCUGUUUGUUUGUUUUUGUACUGGGGAUUUAACCCAGGGACACUUUACCACUGAGCUAUAUCCCCAACCCGUUUUAUUUUUUAUGACUUUUGGCCCCAGAUAAAAUUUAAUAUUGGUUGAAUGUACUGAAUUUUUGUCUUUAGGAUAACAUUCAGAAUAUGGCUUAUCAGAGUUAGUUUUCUUCUGGUUUAAAACAUUGUUUGAUCUAAAAAGCAUCCCUUAAAUCUCGAGUGGUGGCAGGCAGACAUUCAUAGUCAGGUAAUACAGUUUGUUGAGUCAAGUUGGCAGUUGUGAAGGACUCAAUUUGGUUUGUUAAGAGAUGCCCCAAGCUGGGAGUGGUGGCUCACGCCUGUUAUUCCAGCAGCUCAGGAGACUAGGCAGGAGGAUCUCAAGUUCAAAGCCAGCUUCAGCAAUUUAGCAAGGUCCUAUCUCUAAUGAAAUAUAAAAAGGGGUUGGGGAUGUGGUUCAGUGGUUAAGUGCCCCUAGGUUCAAUUCCUGGUACCAAAAAAAAAAAAAAAAGCUCAAACCUGAUAGAAAAGAAUUCCAGAAUAUUUCUAUAUGACAAUAGCAAUAGAUUUUGCUAUAAUGGGAUUUAGAAUGUCUUUGGAUGCUGUUAAAGUUCUUUUGAAAUUAACCUACCAUCCCUAUUAAUAACAUCAUUGUGGGUGGCUUAAUACUUUUUGUCGAAGGGUUUGAGAACCUCAUGAAGUAAAAUUUUGUUCCCU
rnacentral:lncRNA from 1 species